AGGACGAACGCUGGCGGCGUGCUUAACACAUGCAAGUCGAGCGAACCUUCGGGUUAGCGGCGAACGGGUGAGUAACACGUGGGCAACCUGCCCCGAGCUCUGGGAUAACUCCGGGAAACCGGGGCUAAUACCGGAUAUGACCCGAGAAGACAUCUUCUCGGGUGGAAAGUUUUUCGGCUCGGGAUGGGCCCGCGGCCUAUCAGCUUGUUGGUGGGGUAACGGCCUACCAAGGCGACGACGGGUAGCCGGCCUGAGAGGGCGACCGGCCACACUGGGACUGAGACACGGCCCAGACUCCUACGGGAGGCAGCAGUGGGGAAUAUUGCGCAAUGGGCGAAAGCCUGACGCAGCGACGCCGCGUGAGGGAUGAAGGCCUUCGGGUUGUAAACCGUCUUUCAGCAGGGACGAAGCGAAAGUGACGGUACCUGCAGAAGAAGCACCGGCCAACUACGUGCCAGCAGCCGC
rnacentral:rRNA from 1 species